GAUGGAGUGCAUCUGCCCCAAGUGGAGGCAGCAGCAGCAGCAGGAGGGAGGUGUCGGGGCAGUGGGGCCGCAGGGCCAGUCCUCAGGUUGGUUACUCAGUUGUCCUCCCUGGUCUGUCCUCAAGGCGUGAUUUGGGCUGGGGUUCUGGCUGCCGUCCAGCCCUCCCUGGUUGCUGUGAGCCUGGCUCUCUAGCCAGCCCUAGAAGUCCGUGAGUUAGUUCUCUGUUGCUUGCAACCAAGAACCCUGACAAGAAAGAAAACUGGCUCAGAGAGGCUGAGUAACCUGCUCAAGAUGACACAGCUUGUGGGUGGCUGAGUUGGCCUUCCAACCCAGAUUCCUGUCAUGUUCCUCAAGCCGACAGCACAUUCCUCCACUUGAAUGCUACAUCUUAGCUCACAGUCACACUGUAAGCCAUCAUCCACACCAGAGGCUGAGCCACCCCUGACCACUCCUUCUGUCCAGGGCAUCUUAUUGGCCCUCUCAUCUGGUUCAGCUUGGUUGUGACCUCUGCUAGAAGCCCUCCCUGGCCUCCCUGUGCACUGAGCUGGUGGUUCCUCCUUUGCGCCCCAGGUACAUGCUCAGAUCUGUGUACCCUACACUUUGUCCUCCAGCUUCGUGUUUGGAUGUUCACAACUCCCAUGAGAAGGGCCCCCGAGAGCUGGCACAGUGCAUGUGUUUCCUCUCCAGACUUCUACAAACCUGGCACAUAAUUGUUUGCUGAAAGAUGGCAUGUUCCUAAAACAGAGGAAGUAGAACCGAAUAAAGCGAAAUCCAACUUCCCA
rnacentral:lncRNA from 1 species